rnacentral:tRNA from 1 species
CGGGAAGUAGCUCAGCUUGGUAGAGCACUUGGUUUGGGACCAAGGGGUCGCAGGUUCGAAUCCUCUCUUCCCGA